rnacentral:rRNA from 1 species
AGCUCCAAUAGCGUAUAUUAAAGUUGUUGCAGUUAAAAAGCUCGUAGUUGGAUUUCUGGGAGAGUGCCAAUGUCCGCCGAUGCGCGUGCGCAGCGGCGCUCUUCCAUCCUUCUGUUAACGCCUCUUGGCAUUCAUUUGCUGGUGGCGGGCUCAGAUAUUUUACCUUGAGAAAAUUAGAGUGUUUCAGGCAGGCUAGGCCGGAAUACAUUAGCAUGGAAUAAUGGAAUAGGACUACGGUCUCUUUGUUGGUUUGAGGGACUGCAGUAAUGAUUAAUAGGGAUAGUUGGGGGCAUUAGUAUUUAAUUGUCAGAGGUGGAAUUCUCAGAUUUGUUAAAGACUAACUUAUGCGAAAGCAUUUGCCAAGGAUGUUU